rnacentral:rRNA from 1 species
GGCUUAGAAGCAGCCACCAUUUAAAGAGUGCGUAAUAGCUCACUGGUCGAGUGACAUCGCGCCGAAAAUGUACCGGGGCUAAACAUACAACCGAAGCUGCGGAUAUAACUAAUGUUAUAUGGUAGGAGAGCGUUCUAACAUCGUAGAAGCCGAGCUGUAAGGCGAGGUGGAGAGGUUAGAAGUGAGAAUGCCGGUGUGAGUAGCGAAAGAUAGGUGAGAAUCCUAUCCACCGAAAGACUAAGGUUUCCAGAGGAAGGCUCGUCCGCUCUGGGUAAGUCGGGACCUAAGGUGAAGCCGAAUGGUGAAGCCGAUGGACAACAGGUAGAAAUUCCUGUACCACCAAAUAUCAUUUGAGAGAAGUGGGGACAGAGGAGGCUAAUUGAUCGUCCUG